GAUGAAUAACGCAGCGAAAUGCGAUAAGUAAUGCGAAUUGCAGAAUUCAGUGAGUCAUCGAAUCUUUGAACGCACAUUGCGCCCUGUGGUAUUCCGCAGGGCAUGCCUGUUCGAGCGUCAUUUCAACCCUCAAGCUCUGCUUGGUGUUGGGCCCUGCCCGCUGCGGCCGGCCCUAAAGACAGUGGCGGUGCCGCCUGGCCCUGAGCGUAGUACAUCUCUCGCUCCAGUGCCCGGUGGUAGCCUGCCAGAACCCCAACUCUCGUGGUUGACCUCGGAUCAGGUAGGGAUACCCGCUGAACUUAAGCAUAUCAAUAAGCGGAGGA
rnacentral:misc_RNA from 1 species